AAUUAGGGGCUGGAAACGGCAUCCCUUUUCGGGUCUCGCUUCGGUGAGGCUGUCUGAAAACCCUUGAAUACUUAACCGCGUUGCUUUGGCGGGCCGCCGCCUCGGCGUUGGCCUCACGGCUAACCGUGCCCGCCAGAGGCCAAAAACUCUAUUGUCUUUGACGUCUGAGUACUAUAUAAUAGUUA
rnacentral:misc_RNA from 1 species